GCAGAAGAGAGGACAUGGACGGGUGGAAAUGGACGUAAGGCACAGAGGCAAGCGGGAGCCCCCUGGGGGGUGUUCUCAGGAGCAGGAACACAGGAGGAGCAUCAGCAGGUGUGAGUACGGCAGGGAGCAGUGCAACGACAAUGACAGGCACAGCAGCAGCGGGAGGUCGGAUGAGGGAUGGAGAAGCAGGUCGAGGAGUGUUACUUCUACGGGCUUGAGGCUGGACCAGCGCGGACAGGAGUCGGCAUCCACCGGAUACUCCAGAGCCUGGCAAGGUGGAUGGAAGGACAGCGCAGACGGGGGUUCGGGCGGUGAGUCAAUAAACACACCACACUUUUUUAAAUUGCAUAAAUCAUUUUAGAGUCAUGAUCAAGG